GACAGAGGGUGCAAACGUUGUUCGGAAUUACUGGGCAUAAAGCGCACGUAGGUGGUCUGCUAAGUCAAGUGUGAAAUCCCCCGGCUCAACCGGGGAAUUGCGCUCGAUACUGGCAGGCUAGAGGUCGGUAGGGGUGGGCGGAACUCCAGGUGGAGCGGUGAAAUGCGUAGAUAUCUGGAGGAACACCGGUGGCGAAAGCGGCUCACUGGACCGAGUCUGACACUGAGGUGCGAAAGCUAGGGUAGCAAACGGG
rnacentral:rRNA from 1 species